rnacentral:rRNA from 1 species
CCUACGGGAGGCAGCAGCUAAGAAUCUUCCGCAAUGGGGGAAACCCUGACGGAGCGACGCCGCGUGGACGAAGAAGGCCGCAAGGUUGUAAAGUCCUUUUGCAGGCGAAGAAUAAGGUGAAGAGUGGAAUGCUUUGCCGAUGACGUUAGCCUGCGAAUAAGCCCCGGCCAAUUACGUGCCAGCAGCCGCGGUAACACGUAUGGGGCGAGCGUUGUUCGGAAUUACUGGGCAUAAAGGGCGUGUAGGCGGUUCGGUAAGCCUGGCGUGAAAGGUAUCGGCUCAACCGGUAGAUGGCGCUGGGAACUGGCGGACUGGAGUUUUGGAGGGGGAGCUGGAAUUCCUGGUGUAGGGGUGAAAUCUGUAGAGAUCAGGAAGAACACCGGUGGCGAAGGCGAGCUCCUGGCCAAUGACUGACGCUGAGGCGCGAAAGCGUGGGGAGCAAACAGGAUUAGAUACCCUGGUAGUCCACGCCCUAAACGAUGACAACUAGAUGUCGGGAGGGUUUGCCUUCCGGUGUCGUAGCUAACGCGUUAAGUUGUCCGCCUGGGAAGUACGGCCGCAAGGUUGAAACUUAAAGGAAUUGACGG